UUGGCGAAGCUGUGCUUGCACAGCCUAGCCAAGGCGGACGGGUGAGUAACGCGUAAGGAACUUGCCCUGCAGUCAGGGAUAACAGACGGAAACGACUGAUAAGACCUGGUAAAGUCAGGCGGACUCAUGUCCAGCCUGAUGAAAAGUGAUGCUGCAGGAGAGCCCUGCGUCCUAUUAGCUUGUUGGUGGGGUAACGGCCCACCAAGGCGAUGAUAGGUAGCCGGCCUGAGAGGGUGGACGGCCACAAGGGGACUGAGAUACGGCCCUUACUCCUACGGGAGGCAGCAGUGGGGAAUAUUGGACAAUGGGGGCAACCCUGAUCCAGCAAUUCUGUGUGCACGAUGAAGGUUUUCGGAUUGUAAAGUGCUUUCAGCAGGGAAGAAAAAAAUGACGGUACCUGCAGAAGAAGCGACGGCUAAAUACGUGCCAGCAGCCGCGGUAAUACGUAUGUCGCAAGCGUUAUCCGGAAUUAUUGGGCAUAAAGGGCAUCUAGGCGGCCAGAUAAGUCUGGGGUGAAAACUUGCGGCUCAACCGCAAGCCUGCCCUGGAAACUAUGUGGCUAGAGUACUGGAGAGGUGGACGGAACUGCACGAGUAGAGGUGAAAUUCGUAGAUAUGUGCAGGAAUGCCGAUGAUGAAGAUAGUUCACUGGACGGUAACUGACGCUGAAGUGCGAAAGCUAGGGGAGCAAACAGGAUUAGAUACCCUGGUAGUCCUAGCUGUAAACGAUGAUUACUGGGUGUGGGCAUGAAGAGUGUCC
rnacentral:rRNA from 1 species